GGCGGGCUGGAAACCUGGGGGUCGCACCUCCUCUAAGUCGCAGCCCCACGUGGCCGUCGGAGGCACUGAGCCCUCCACGCUGAGGCCUUGGCUGCCGCUGCACCGUCCCGGCAGGGGGCCGCAUGUGCAGACCCUCAGCGGGGCCUCGGGAUGGCGGAGUCUGCCAUUCACGGGCAGCUCUGAGAACCAGCUCCUUCCUCUGAGCCUGACGUCUGCCGCCAGCGACUCGGCUGCCACCUGGCCCAGAGCAGGCGACGGGAUGCUGGAGACGGACGGGGGACGCUCAAGUCACAGGGCCUGAAAACACUUGGAUCUCUCUGAGCUGGAGAAGCAGGGCCACUGGGGACCCAGACCCCUGCAGCCCUGGCCCUGGCCCCGGCCCGGCUGUGCUGGGCAGAGCAGCUGACUCCUCAGGACUCAGUUUUCCUUCUUGUGGGAAUGGGUGCGUUGGCCAAGAUAGGGGUUCUGAACGUGGGGCGAAAUCAGGGGGUCUGUGAACUUCGAGACGCUUCUGCAGUUAUGAAUGAAGGCCCUUGGCCACAGCAGAGUCAGUAGUAUCUGCCACUUUGCCACACACAAAACCCCAGGCAUUUUCGUAUCAGUGCCUGUUGUGGGAGACACCUUGAAAUAUGGCUCACCUCGAUUAUUAUUUCCAAGUUAAGGUGGUUCGUGGACCUGCCACUAUCAUGCUAUUUAAUGCAUUAAAAAAGAAGCACAUACAGCGCCAGUGGCAUAGUGGUUAAGUUCGUGCACUCUGCUUCGGUGUCAUGGGGUUCACAGGUUCAGAUCCCAAGCACAGGCUUACACACUGCUCAUAAAGUCACGCUGUGGCACUGUCCUACAUAUAAAAUAGAGGAAGAUCGGCACACAUGUUAGCUCAGCAACAAUAUUCCUCAAGCAAGAAGAGGACGAUUGGCAACAAGUGUUAGCUCAGGGCCAAUCUUCCUCACCAAAAAAAAAAAUUAAAAAAAAAACACGUGCAAUAGCCAAAAGACAGAAAAAAACCCACAUGUCCAACAACCAACAAAAAGAUAAAUAAAUUGUGGUCUAUCCAUACCCUGGAAUAUUAUUCAGUCAUAAAAAGGAAUGAAGUUCUGACACACGCUACAACAUGGACGAACCUCAAAAACGUUACGUUAAGUGAAAGAAGCCAGACACAAAAGACCACAUAUUUAUGAUUCCACUCUGUGAAAUAUUCAGAAUAGAUAACUCAGCUCCAUGGAGACAGAACACAGAUCGGUGGUUGCCGGGGGGGCGGGGGGUGGAAUGAGGAGCAACUGUUUGAUGGUCACCGAGUGUCCUUUUGAGAUGAUGAAAAUGUUCUGGAAGUAGAUCGAGGUGGUGGCUGCACAGCAUGGUGAGUGUCUAAAUGCCACUGGAUUGUGCGCUUUAAAACGUCUCAUUUUAUGUCAUGUGAAUUUCUCCCCAACAAAAAGGAAGCAUAUAUAACAGUAUCUCAUUUUUCAAAUCCUCUGGUAAUUGUAUUUCAGUGCUAGAACCCUAGGACAUUUCUUCCAUGCAUUUAACUCCCUUGGCCUCGCCAGACGCCAGGUCGGGGUCCCCUGGACUGGAAGCUCUCCACGGCCACUCUUGGAACCUGUUUUUACCAGGAGAGGUGCAGUCCCACCUCCUGGUCCCCCCCAGGCCCAUCCUGGCUCCAUGUAGAGAAGUUGCUGGUGGAAGACGAGCGCCGGUUUCCUCCGGCUUCACCGCUAAGGGGGCUGGGAGCAGACAGACGAGGCAGAGCCCCCAGGCUGGCCCUCUCGUCUUGCACUUAGCGUCAGUGUGGAAGGCUCUCCCACCUCUAGGAGUCGUCUCUGAGAAUGCAGACGUCCCGGGAGAGGGGAGACCCAGCCGGGUGGAUCUGCAGGCAGGUGAGGCUGGACCAGGUAGCGGGUAAGAAGAAGCAGCAGGAGGUAAGAGGGGAGGCUGACAGAGGACCCGAGGGUACGAGGCUGCCCUGGUGUGGGCCCAAGACCGGCUUGCGUCCCUGAACAGGGAAUGUCAUGUUACUCUGCACCCAGGAGGUGCUGCCCGUCCCCCUGGGAAGGGUGCAGAGCACCCUGGCACCUCUCCCUGAUCCCACCAGUGCUGAGCCCACCCUCAUGCCCCCACCCCCACUGGAAAGUGCAGCCCUCCAGCCUCUGAAUGCAGUGCUGCUGAUUUUUUUUCUUUUUUUGGUGAAGAAGAUUUGCCCUGAGCUAACAUCCGUUGCCAAUCUUCCUCUUUUUGCUUGAGUAAGAUUAUUGCUGAGCUAAGCUCCGUGCCAGUCUUCCUCCACUUUAUAUGUGGGACACUGCCACAGCAUGGCUUGAGGAGUGAUGUGUAGGUCCAUGCCCAGGAUCCGAACCUGUAAAGCCUGGGCCACUGAAGUGGAGCGUGGGAACUUAACAACUAUGCUACUAGGCUGGCCCACCGGCCGAUUAUUCGUGACUGGAAACUUUGAUUCCCGGCGGCUGUUUCCCACCCUUCUGCAUCCACAUUCAUGUGCCCCCACCUGCUCAUAAACUCCUGGGGAGAUAAAAAGCAGUACAUGCCGACUCUGCUGGGCAACGUGCGAGGUGUCUGUAAGCAUCUCGUGAUCGCAUCUCGUCCUUCCUGCAAGCCCACGCAGUAGGCACUGUUCACGGAUGGAGAAACUGCAGCUCAGAAAGGUGAACCUGUCGCUCGUGCAGAGCUGGGACUCAAACCAGGAUUCAGGCUCUCUCCUUCAUACCCCCUCCUGCCCUGGGAACGUCACCUCUGUCUUCAGAGUCCUCUCGAUGCUGCAUAAUCGAUCACCUCAACAGAAUGCUGCCGAGCUCCUGCCGCGAGCCAGGCACUGUGCUCGUGGGCCUGGGAGUACGGUCAUAAACAGAAGCUCAUGUUCCAGAUAAAUCGACCAAAAGGAGACCUGGAGACAAGGAACUCAGCAGGGAACCUCAGACGGCAGUGAGUGCUGCCUGAGUCAGGACGGCCCAGGUUCUGCUGCAGAAACAGAGCAGCUGAACUGACAGGUCUCAUCGUCACUUACCCCUCAGCACACGUGGCCCAGCAGCUCUUCCCGGCAGCUGUCCUCCUAGCGGUGGCUCCGGGAUCCAGGCUCCCCACAUCCUCGGGCUCCUCCAUCUUACACUAGUGGUCACCUCCGUCACUGUAGAAGAGGAGUAGAGAAUGCCAACAGUCCCAUCAGAGGCUCUGAGGAAGAAGAAAAUGAAAUGGAUUUGGUGAAGACAGGACAGUGUCUCUACCACGCAACGAGAAAGGAGGUAACAGAAUGAUGGGAGAGAGAGUGACUGAGACGAGGGGCCCAUUUUAGAUGGAUGGGUCAAGGUCAGUGACUUGAGGGAUCCAGGCAGGAGAGAACAUUCUGGUCCUGGGGUACACGGACAAGUGAAAAUGGUUGGUGCCAGAAAGUGCCUGACGUGUUCAAGGCACAGAAGGUGGCCAAGGAGAGGAGUGGGGGUGAGCGAGGGAGAGCAAAGACAGGGCGUCGGACGUGCAAGCAGGUCAGGCGGGCAAUCCCGAUCCACAUCAGACGCUAUAAAACGUCCCACCGCCUGCCCUCCCCACUCCCUAGGGACCCUGACCCGAUCAUUCCCACCUGGAGCUUUCCGUUAAUGCUUUUUCUUUCUAAGAAAAUAACAGAUAUGCCCAAAAGUGCACAAAUUAUAAGUGUGUGCCCAUUGAAUAGUCACAAAGUGGACAAUUCAUGCAGCCAUCACCGAGAUAAAGAAACAGAAUGUCGAAGGCGCCCAGAAGGUCCCCUCUCGCCCUAUCACCACCUCUUCCUCCCCACCCAAAGAUAAUCGCCGUCAAGAUCUUGCCUGUUCCUGAACGUCAUAUGAAUGGAGUCAUACAGUUUAUACUCAAUUUCGUGGCUGGAGCCUUUCUCGCCACAUUAUUUUGUGACAUUCGUUGAGUGCAGGAGCGCUGUUUCGUGUUCCACUGCGUGAAUUCUCCACAAUUCCAUUUGGCCACACUACCGCGAAGGGCACGUGAGCGGCUCCCGGGGGAGGCAUGAACAGUGGGGCUGCUGUGGUCACUCUGGUGUGUGUGUUCUGGGGCACGCGUGCGUGUAUUUCCAUUGGUGGAGAUCUGGGGGCGGGGUAGCUGGGUCCUGGG
ensembl:lncRNA